rnacentral:sRNA from 1 species
AAUAUUUUAUUUUUUGGUAUAUAUAAUAUUAGCUCCUGGUAAAAUAAAUGGCUAGAUCCGCCAUUGGGUGCAUGGAUUUAUACGUUAACGUGAUCAAUCAUAUAUUGGUUUGCAUUACAAAAUUAUAUUCUGAGAAAAGUUGAUAAUGUUGGGCUGAGAUAACUAGUACAACUAUUGCAACGAACUCUUUAAUUUUAUGUUUGUGUAUGAAUUUUCUGGAAAUUGAUGAUGAGGAACAACAAAUGCAGCCACAAGGAUGUUCUUUGGUCCAAGCGAAUACCAAAAGACGUGUAAGGUAGGGACGAGAUGCACUGUGCAGCAGACAGUGAAGUAUUUGGAGGGGUUUAAAGAAGAUUUGCCAUGGUUCAAAGCGCAUUCACAGUUUAGGCAUGUAUUCCACAUGCCUGAGGAGAAAAACCACAUGACUCAAGGCAUGUGGAUGCUUUUGCUUCGCACAUCACAGACAGAGAUGGAUAGAAAGUGCUGGUUUGUGGUGAAUGGAGUGCCUAUUAGGUACUCCAUUAAAGAGCAUGCGCUCUUCUGUGGUUUUGAGUGUUAUGAGUACCCUAAGGAGUUCUAGCCCAGUAUGAUUAUCAAAAAAGAUGUUUAAAAAUGUAUCAAGGAUUAAAAUCAUAUAUGUUGAAAAGAAGCUGAAUGAAAUGAAUGAUUGUGGAGAAAGGAAGAAGGCAGAUAGAAAGAAGUUAUCUAUUUUGCUAUUUUUGUGCAAGGUGAUUGUUGCAAAGUCAAAGGUUGAUGGUAACAUUGAUCGUUUCUUGCUGAAAAUUAUUGAUGAUGUGCAUGCAUGCGAGACAUUUCCAUGGGAUCGUUUCACAUUUGAUGGAUGUAUGGAAGGGAUUAAGUCGAUAAUAAACAACAUGAAUGGGAAAGCAAAAGUGGAGACAUGUUUCUCUGGAUUUAUUUUUCCAUUAGAGGUAACAAUUUAUAGUAUUCUAUAUGAUGAAAUGCAUUAUUAGACUUAAAAAUAAUAGUUAUGUGACGUUUACAUUGAAUGUGUAGAUUUUAUCAUUUGAGGCUAUCCUAUAGUUGGGACAAAAGUUUAGAGACCCUAUAAGGUUCGAGAAUGAGUGUCCGAGAAUGUGUAAUAGUAAAUUCUCUAAUAGUGUCAUGAAAGAGUUCUCAUUGGAAGAGAUAAUUGAGGAGCUUGGAAGUGUAAAUGUAAGAUUUGUGAAUUAUAUCUUAUUAUAUGUGACUAUGUGCUUGAAUAUAAUUAUUUUGAUGUUUGAAUUUUUAUAGGAUAUCUCUAGCAUUUUUGAACCGGAUGACGAAGAGAAAUAUUUGUUGAGACGCAUUGUAGAUGGUAAUGUUGUUGAUGAUGGGAUAAGUUUUGUUGAUCCAGUUGUUGAUAGUUGGAGAACCUGUUUAAUCAAAAAGAGGAAGAAAAUAUGGUGGAAGGACUUGUUUGACGAAGAUGUGCGUUCUCGAAGCGGUGAGCCAACGGAGGAACAUGUCUCAAAAAAUGGUCCGGACAUUAGCACUUUGAGAGAAGCAAUUGAUGCAGGCUUUAAGCAAGUUGUGGAGAUGUUAGGAGAAUACAAUCAAAUGCUUAUAACCACUGUAAGAAGACAAGUUGGUGAGAAUGUACCUCCAUUUAACGAGAAUGUGAAUUCCGAUGUGAAUGUGGAGAAGGAAGAUGGUGAGAAUGUUCUACCAUUUGAGGAGAAUGUGAAUUCCGAUGUGAAUGUGGAGAAGGAAGAUGGUGAGAGACAUCCACCAUAUGAAGAUAAUGUAAAUGUGGAGAAGGAUGUUGGUGAGAGUGUUCUACCAUUUGAGGAGAAUGUGUAUAUGGAGAAGGAAAUUGGUGAAAAUGUGUCACUAUUUGAGGAUGUUGGUCCAAAUGUAGUGAAAAAAUGCACUGACAUGGUUCUUUAUGUUAGAGGCUCUCCAAAAGGUAUAUUCUUAUGUCAAUCUUUGAUCGUUUUUAAUAUUUGAUGUUUGUUGGUAUCAAUGGUUCUGUUUUCUUUUGAAGGACAUGUUCAAGAUGAGACCGAAGGUAAUAAAGCUACUGAAGCGGAUAUUUGUGUUGAUGAGACGCAAGGCGAUGAUGAGACGCCGAAGAAGGAAAACUAGAAGAAAGGGAAGUAGGGUAAAGGGAAGUGUAAUGAUAAGAAGAAUGACAAGAAAAAAAGAGAUGAGGAUGAGAACGAGGGUGAGGGUGGCAAAAAACCAGAGAAGAAGCGUAAACAGAACCCAUCGAGAUUCCACAAGCCACCUUAUACCACAGAGAGAAUGCGAGGGACCAUUGGUCCUGUUUAUGUUUGGAGAAAAAUGGAUGAAACACUUGCGUCAUUGUUUUUGUGUGAACGGUUUAUUUAUGUAUUUCAUGAUGUAUGUUUUUUGGGAUGAUUGAUCUUGUUGUUUGGGAUUUAUGGUAUUUAUUUAUGUGAAUACUACACUACAAAAAAAGUUUAGUUUACAUCAUUUUUUUCUUAAUAUUUGUAUUAGUUGUAAAUGAUGUAAAAGACUUUCACAUCACUAACAUAAAUGAUUCGGAUAGUGAUGAUACAAAUAAUUUACAUCAGUUAAUUAACAACUGAUGUCAAUAUACAAAAUAUUUACAUCGAUUAUUGUAAUUAAUGUGAAUAUGUAUCAGUUGCAGAAAAUGAUGUUAAUUUUCAAU